rnacentral:rRNA from 1 species
GACGAACGCUGGCGGCGUGCUUAACACAUGCAAGUCGAACGGAAAGGCCCUGCUUUUGUGGGGUGCUCGAGUGGCGAACGGGUGAGUAACACGUGAGUAACCUGCCCUUGACUUUGGGAUAACUUCAGGAAACUGGGGCUAAUACCGGAUAGGAGCUCCUGCCGCAUGGUGGGGGUUGGAAAGUUUCGGCGGUUGGGGAUGGACUCGCGGCUUAUCAGCUUGUUGGUGGGGUAGUGGCUUACCAAGGCUUUGACGGGUAGCCGGCCUGAGAGGGUGACCGGCCACAUUGGGACUGAGAUACGGCCCAGACUCCUAGGGGAGGCAGCAGUGGGGAAUAUUGCACAAUGGGCGGAAGCCUGAUGCAGCAACGCCGCGUGCGGGAUGACGGCCUUCGGGUUGUAAACCGCUUUCGCCUGUGACGAAGCGUGAGUGACGGUAAUGGGUAAAGAAGCACCGGCUAACUACGUG